AGCAGUAGCCGCGGUAAUACGAAGGGGGCUAGCGUUGUUCGGAUUUACUGGGCGUAAAGGGCGCGUAGGCGGACUGAUAAGUCAGGGGUGAAAUCCCAAGGCUCAACCUUGGAACUGCCUUUGAUACUGUUUGUCUUGAGUUCGAGAGAGGUAAGUGGAACUGCGAGUGUAGAGGUGAAAUUCGUAGAUAUUCGUAAGAACACCAGUGGCGAAGGCGGCUUACUGGCUCGAAACUGACGCUGAGGCGCGAAAGCGUGGGGAGCAAACAGGAUUAGAUACCCCUGUAGUCCCUGUCUCUUAUAC
rnacentral:rRNA from 1 species